GACGAACGCUGGCGGCGUGCUUAACACAUGCAAGUCGAACGGAAAGGCCCUGCUUUUGUGGGGUGCUCGAGUGGCGAACGGGUGUGUAACACGUGAGUAACCUGCCCUUGACUUUGGUAAAACUUCAGGAAACUGGGGCUAAUACCGGAUAGGAGCUCCUGCUGCAUGGUGGGGUUUGGAAAGUUUCGGCGGUUGGGGAUGGACUCGCGGCUUAUCAGCUUGUUGGUGGGGUAGUGGCUUACCAAGGCGUUGACGGGUAGCCCGCCUGAGAGGGUGACCGGCCACACUGGGACUGAGAAACGGCCCCAACCCCUACGGGAGGGAGCAGGGGGGAAUAUUGCACAAUGGGGGGAAGCCUGAUGCAGGGACGCCGGGGGGGGGAUGACGGCCUUCGGGGUGGAAAACCCUUUCAGCAGGGAAGAAGCGAAAGUGACGGUAAAUGGGGAAGAAGCACCGGGUAAAUACGUG
rnacentral:rRNA from 1 species